AUUGAACGCUGGCGGCAUGCCUUACACAUGCAAGUCGAACGGCAGCGGACCUUCGGGUGCCGGCGAGUGGCGGACGGGUGAGUAAUAUAUCGGAACGUACCUUUCAGUGGGGGAUAACGUAGCGAAAGUUACGCUAAUACCGCAUAUUCUGUGAGCAGGAAAGCAGGGGAUCGCAAGACCUUGCGCUGAUUGAGCGGCCGAUAUCAGAUUAGCUAGUUGGUGAGGUAAAGGCUCACCAAGGCGACGAUCUGUAGCGGGUCUGAGAGGAUGAUCCGCCACACUGGAACUGUGACACGGUCCAGACUCCUACGGGAGGCAGCAGUGGGGAAUUUUGGACAAUGGGCGCAAGCCUGAUCCAGCCAUGCCGCGUGAGUGAAGAAGGCCU
rnacentral:rRNA from 1 species